AACCUAAAGAUUUGGCGGUUUCUAAACUUACUAGAGGAACCUGUCCCGUAAACGACAAUCCACGAAAAAAUCAACCCAAACUUGUUAUUCAGCUUAUAUACCGUCGUUUAGGGGAUUAAACAAAUAGAUCUCCUUAAGAGCUUAGGCUAAUAAAUCAGAUCAAGGUGUAGCUUAUGUUUGGGUGAGGAUGGGUUACAAUGAAAAUUCAUACGGAACCUUUAUAUUACUGCAAAGGAGAAGGUGGAUUUAGAAGUAAGACCUAACACACUGAAGAAAGCCCUGAGAAAUGUACACAUCGCCCGUCGCUCUCUUGUCCGAAGAGAUAAGUCGUAACAAAGUAGGUGUAUCGGAAGGUUCAUCUUGAAAGA
rnacentral:rRNA from 1 species